UUCAUCACCACCAGUCCCCGAAAUGACCAAAGCCAAAGAUAAAGAAGAGAAAGGGAGUUCAGCUAAAUUACCCGCGGAGCCGGGGGAGUGCGUGGUGCUGCUGGCGGACAGGAAGCUGCUGUAGUUGCCCCUGGAGGCCCUGACGGUGCUGCAGGGCGGAGGCCUGAGCUCCAUGUCUCGGGACUUCUCCCUCCAGCUGCUCCACAGUCGGCUGAACAGAGAGGAACCAGACAAAGGAGUGGGCAGCGACGAGGGCAGCGGCUACGGGAGACCGCGAGGUCCGGGAGCUCCUUCCCCUCGGAGCCGGGGACGAGAUCAACCGGCACGUUACAGGAACAGUCGAGUCGCCGCUGCCCGACGUGACGGUUUAACACGACGCGCGCCUGCUCGGCUCCGGUGAUGCAGGAGAUAUGAGAAGGCGAUCUUGUUGUCCAACGGAAAGGCCGUGAACCAAAACAUUAAUAGUGCACGAAAGGGUUCACGCUCGACUGUUUUUCUAAAAAACAAGUACGUCUGGUUGGAACGUCGGUUGUGCGCGUCCCGAGCCGUGAAAAUGAAACCAGGAGAAACAAAGCAUCCAGAAACGUGGCCCGUCAUGCUUUCCCACCAGGACUGGACACGUAAUGUCGACUCAGCAUCCGCAGCGGUCAGAGUUAUAACAUCGUGAGAAGAGACCGUUUGACCUUUUGAAGUGAAAAGGGGGGGGAGGAAUACAGUUUUAAGACAUGGGGCUGUGUUCACUUCUUAAAUGCUCUAAGGAGAGAUGUGUAUGUCAGUCAAAUAAAUAAAGAUGAAAGAA